CCUACGUGAGUCAGCAGUGAGGAAUAUUGGUCAAUGGGCGCGAGCCUGAACCAGCCAAGUAGCGUGAAGGAUGACUGCCCUACGGGUUGUAAACUUCUUUUAUAAAGGAAUAAAGUGAGGCACGUGUGCCUUUUUGUAUGUACUUUAUGAAUAAGGAUCGGCUAACUCCGUGCCAGCAGCCGCGGUAAUACGGAGGAUCCGACCGUUAUCCGGAUUUAUUGGGUUUAAAGGGAGCGUAGAUGGGUUGUUAAGUCAGUUGUGAAAGUUUGCGGCUCAACCGUAAAAUUGCAAUUGAUACUGGCAGUCUUGAGUACAGUUGAGGUAGGCGGAAUUCGUGGUGUAGCGGUGAAAUGCUUAGAUAUCACGAAGAACUCCGAUUGCGAAGGCAGCUUACUAAACUGCCACUGACAUUGAUGCUCGAAAGUGUGGGUAUCAAACAGGAUUAGAUACCCUAGUAGUC
rnacentral:rRNA from 1 species